rnacentral:rRNA from 1 species
UACGGGGGGAGCAAGCGUUGUUCGGAUUUACUGGGCGUAAAGGGCGCGUAGGCGGCACUGCAAGUCAGUUGUGAAAUCUCCGGGCUUAACCCGGAAAGGUCAGCCGAUACCGCGGGGCUAGAGUGCAGAAGGGGCAACUGGAAUUCUCGGUGUAGCGGUGAAAUGCGUAGAUAUCGAAAGGAACACCUGCGGCGAAGGCGGGUUGCUGGGCUGACACUGACGCUGAUGCGCGAAAGCUAGGGGAGCGAACGGG